CAGCCGCCGCGGGAAUACGGAGGGGGCUAGCGUUGUUCGGAAUUACUGGGCGUAAAGCGCACGUAGGCGGUUCGUUAAGACAGAUGUGAAAUCCCCGGGCUUAACCUGGGAACUGCAUUUGUGACUGGCGAGCUAGAGUAUGGCAGAGGGGGGUAGAAUUCCACGUGUAGCAGUGAAAUGCGUAGAGACGUGGAGGAAUACCGAUGGCGAAGGCAGCCCCCUGGGCCAAUACUGACGCUCAUGCACGAAAGCGUGGGGAGCAAACAGGAUUAGAUACCCCGGUAGUCCCUGUCUCUUAUAC
rnacentral:rRNA from 1 species